GUCCACGCUGUAAACGUUGGAUACUAGGUGUGGCGGUCUAUCAACGACUGCCGUGCCGAAGCUAACGCAUUAAGUAUCCCGCCUGGGGAGUACGGCCGCAAGGCUAAAACUCAAAGGAAUUGACGGGUCCCCCGCACAAGCGGCGGAGCAUGCGGCUUAAUUCGAUGCAACCCGAAGAACCUUACCUGGGUUUGACAUCAUGGGAAAAGCCGUAGAAAUACGGUGUCCGAAAGGGCCCAUGACAGGUGGUGCAUGGCUGUCGU
rnacentral:rRNA from 1 species